UACGUAGGGAGCAAGCGUUGUCCGGAAUCAUUGGGCGUAAAGCGCGCGUAGGUGGCUUCAUAAGUCCGUUGUGAAAGUCAAAGGCUCAACCUUUGAAAGCCGAUGGAUACUGUGGAGCUAGAGUACGGAAGAGGCGAGUGGAAUUCCUGGUGUAGCGGUGGAAUGCGCAGAUAUCAGGAGGAGCACCAAUAGCGAAGGCAGCUCGCUGGGACGUUACUGACACUGAGGCGCGAAAGCGUGGGGAGCGAACAGG
rnacentral:rRNA from 1 species